rfam:Mesocricetus auratus contig018262, whole genome shotgun sequence.
GCCGGGCGCGGUGGCGCACGCCUGUAGUCCCAGCUACUCGGGAGGCUGAGACAGGAGGAUCGCUUGAGUCCAGGAGUUCUGGGCUGUAGUGCGCUAUGCCGAUCGGGUGUCCGCACUAAGUUCGGCAUCAAUAUGGUGACCUCCCGGGAGCGGGGGGCCACCAGGUUGCCUAAGGAGGGGUGAACCGGCCCAGGUCGGAAACGGAGCAGGUCAAAACUCCCAUGCUGAUCAGUAUUUAUAGGAGUGCAUGUGGGGGGGGGGCAGAGGACAACCUAAUAGAGGCAGUCCCUCCUUCCA